UAGGCAUUUGAAGAUAAUAUAAGAAAGAAUCGUUCAAAUAUCAGCAAUUGGAUAAAGUAUGCCAACUGGGAAGAAAGUCAAAAAGAAAUCAACAGGGCUCGUUCUGUUUACGAAAGAGCUUUGGCAGUUGAACACAGAAAUGUUACCUUAUGGCUGAAAUAUGCUGAAAUGGAAA